CCGCAACUUUUGCACCAUUUCCAACUUGUAGAUUAAUUUCUCCUUUCUUCAACCUUCUACUUAUUUGGAACCCCUGCAACAUAGUGCAGAUGUUAUAACCACUGCCAGUAUCUAAUACCCACAAUGAAACAUCAGUAGUAGUUAAAGAAACUUUGAAAUCAUUUUUCAGUUGAGUCUUACCUUGUUUCUUAUCAUUUAGAGUUGCAAGAUACUCCGGGCAGUUUCUCUUCCAAUGUCCUAUCUUCUUACAGUGGAAACACUCAGCGUUAUAUUGGUCGGCUUUGCCUUUUUUGCCUUUGGGUUUGGUCACACCACCCUUAGGUGCAAUAGGUUUCUUCUUGGGUUUAAUUUUAUUCUUACCCUUCUUCUUAGAAGAGUUUCCAACCAACAUGACGGUUCCUUUCUUCUUCUCAGAUGCAAGUUGAUUCUCAUAAUCAAUCAGCAUGUUGAGCAUCUCAUGAAGAUCACAAUCCAUUUUAUUCAUAUUAAAAUUAAUAACAAAUUGUGAAAAGGAUUCUGAUAGUGACUGCAAGAUCAAAUCUUGAGAAAGCUCUUUACCCAGUUUGCACCCCAACUUCUCAAGUUCUUCAAUAAGAUCAAUCAUACGAUUAACAUAGGGUCCAACUGGAGAGUUUCCAGUCAAUUUGGAUCCAAAUAAAGCCUUAGAUAGCUGGUAUCUAUCUGUCCUGCUUUGUGUACCAAACAUCUUCUUAAGUUGUUCAAUGAUUGCAGUUGGAUCCAUAUCCUGAUGUUUCCUUUGUAGUUCAGAAUUCAUAGAAGCGAGAAUGAUGCAUUUGGUAGUAAGACAUUCUUUCAAGUAUUUCUGAUAAAUCUUGGUGGCAUCAUCAUCAUUUUCAUCUAGGACUUCCUUGGCAGGCUUAUCGAUCACAUGAAUAAGUUUUUUAUGCAUGAGAACAAUUCUCAAAUUUCUGUACCAAUCAUCAAAGUUUGGUCCUACCAACUUGUUGGUCUCAAGUAUUCCACGUAGUGAUAUAACAGACAUAUUGAGAAAUCUAAAAUAUAGAAAAGAAAAGGCAAUAAUAUAAGAAAAUAUUUGCAUAUAUCAUAAAGACAUGGACUUUUAUCUAUAUGAUAUUUUUACUAAUUAUUUUAAACUAUUUACCCUCAUUAUAGUUUACGAAAUCUUUAUUUCUGUUAGUGGAGUAAAGAAAUCUUUUAACAAUAUGUAUGAGCCCCUUGGAAGUCAAGUCGUUUCUCACAUAUAUUUUAAAGGUAGGUACUCUUACCAAUUGUAUCCCUAUACAACUUCCUUAAAUAGCUCUAUGUCAAAUAGUCCCCUGGUAUCCAGGUCGAUCCUAUUGGCAUAAUUGAGUUGAACCAUCAUGAUAGCAAAGAACUUAUUAAAUUUUAUACUCCCCCGGGUAGUCCAGGCGUCUAGUGUAAAAUUGAAUAAUUCUUUCAAUUCAUACAUCUAUUGCAAAUAAAUAAUUAUAACAUAUUCUCGAACUAUAAGUCUCCUGGUUGUCAGGCCGCUCCUUAUAAACAAGAAGUAAGUAAAAUUAUUUACUUUGAUGGAUAACUCUAUAAUAAAAUAUCUUAUAUUUUAUUAUUCAAGAACUCAAAUUUUUAAUAAGAGGGAAUUGUUACUAAAACAAUUUUUAAUAACAUGAAGAUCAAAUCUUUUAUAGCAUGUGAAUUUAGUUCAAGUUGUCUACGUGCUUAGUCCUAAAUUAAUUUACAUCACAUAUAAUAAAUAAUUCAAAAUUAUGUAAUGAACAAGCACAUGACAUAAAAACGAAAUUCAACAUCCUCUAACAUGUUUAUCUUAUAUAUAUUACAUAAAAGAAUUCAUGCUAGAAUAUUGUUAUUAAUUAACAUCUCAUGAACUAAUAACAAUUAAAAAUAACCAUAGAAUCAUGUAACCUAUUAAAGAUUCCCAUUGUAUCUAAUACAAAAUUUCAAAUUCAAGUUAUGAACUAUCUCAAUAGUUAUAUGAAUGCAUAAUUUAUCCACAACAAAAUAAUAGCAACAUUCAAACGAUUUGACUAUUGCAUAAGACACAUGUAUUAUGGUUUGAACUAUUCAAAUAUAAUAUUAAAAUAUUUCGUAAAUAAAUUUUAGACACAAUAAACCACGACUCUGAUACCACUGUAGGAUUGUGUAUAGGUGUUUGUAAUACGCAGCGGAAGACAAUAACAAUCCUAGGAAGAUCUUUUCGUGUUUAAAAUUUAUUUACAUGCCAAAGAUCGGAUCUAAGACGUACCUAGUAAAGAGUGUCUCGUUUGAAAAUUUCUUCGAUAGUGCGAAGACUCUAUGCGUAUCCACACCGAGACCGAUCCUUGCUAUCAAUUCUUUGAUCAAUGAAACCCGCGAACAAAUUAAACGAAAUAUUUUGUUGAAAUGUUUCUCAAAAACUUCAACUAAAAUAGAAAGAACAAGAAACUAAGUUUUCUUGUCAAG
rnacentral:lncRNA from 1 species